rnacentral:rRNA from 1 species
CCCAUUAAAGUGGUACGCGAGCUGGGUUCAGAACGUCGUGAGACAGUUCGGUCCCUAUCCGUCGCAGGCGUAGGAAAUUUGAGAAGACCUGUCCUUAGUACGAGAGGACCGGGAUGGACGUACCUCUGGUGUACCAGUUGUCCUGCCAAGGGCAUGGCUGGGGAGCUAUGUACGGAAUGGAUAAGCGCUGAAAGCAUCUAAGCGCGAAGCCAACUUCAAGAUAAGAUUUCCCACCGCAAGGGUAAGACCCCAGAAAGACUAUCUGGUUGAUAGGUCGAAGGUGUAAGUGCAGCAAUGUAUUUAGCUUAUCGAUACUAAUAGGUCGAGGACUUGACCAAU